CACGGAUCAGCGCAGCAUUUCAACGUAACACGGUCCGGUAAACGUGAACGGACAAGACGUGGGACGGUUCGAUAUCACUUACUGACGGGACCGGAGACUCUCACAGCGGCGUCCAGCGUACAGAACUAGCUAACAUUAGGAAGUGGAGACCAUGUUGACUGACAGCAAGGAUACAGGGAGCGUAGAAGGUUGUGGAGCUGCUGCUGUGAAUGUAGAAGAACGAGGAGCCAAACAUGGGGAAGGCACUGACUAGCCCUGCGAGCACAAACACAGAAAUAAAAUCUUAUUCUGUAUUUUACAAAGUAAUUUGUAUAGCAGCACUCCUUUUCUGUUACACAGUUAAUUUUUCUCCUUCUGUUUAUAUUUUUAGGGCUUUUUUUCUAUCUAUCUAUCUAUCUAUCUAUCUAUCUAUCUAUCUAUCUAUCUAUCUAUCUAUCUAUCUAUCAUCAUCAUCCAUCCAUCCAUCCAUCCAUCCAUCCAUCCAUCCAUCCUACCCAGGAACUGUGCUCUGGCCUGGUGUGGGUUCAGUGUCUGUAUUUGCUGCAUGUGCUGCGUCACCAUGGUAACCCACUGCUGGGGCGGCUGCUUUUUGAAGAGAGGUGUGGUAACAUACUCAGACAAGUCGUGUCUGGAGGAGAGAGAAAGAGCAGUACAGAGUCAGAUAAACACAAGUUGGCAUCCACUUCUGGAAAUGAUUUUACACAACCCAGUGAGCUGUUCUGCUUUUGGCUACGUGUGUGGGAGGAAAGAGACUCUGAUAACAGUGGCAACAAAUCGUAUAAGAGUUUUUAACAGUUGAGAAAGUUAUUUAAAAAAAAAAAAAAAGUCAUGCCCUUUAGACACAACAAGCGCAGUCCGGACUUGUAUUUACAAAACUGCUAUAUUUAAGGAAAGUCAAAAUCCUUCACUUAUACUCAGAGAACUUACAAACAAAAUAUAUUAUUGUAUUUAGAGAGUUAUUACAAAAUCACACAGUUUACUGGAGGCAGAAACCAGAAAGAACUGUCUGAUUUUUGUUUCAACAUUGUGAUGGUUCUUGAAGUACUCAUCAAUCUGACCUUAAAAGUUUCAUAAAAAUCACAUUAUUCUGCAUGUCUUGCUUAAAAUUUCACCCAAAAUAUAUAAUUUAGACCAACCAGAUACUGUAGAAUGAAGAAAUAAUCUGUGCUCCUUGACGCAACCUUGAAACUAUUGUUGACUCGGCUGUGAUAAAUUGCAGGUUGUGUUACUGCAGGAGCAAACAGGAGUCAAGAAAGUUGACAAACUAAAAAUGUAAGCAGUAAUAUGUCUAGAAUAUGUGAAGCCAACCACUUUUUCUGGUAUUGCUAACACUUAAGAGCACUUUGUAAAAAUGCAUUUCUUUCUUUUAUGACUUACAGCAUUCUGCACAGAAAACACGUUUGAGUCUAGUCAUGUCUGUUCUGUUUCCGUAGAGGUGCAGUACUUUAUAUUGCAGUGAAGAAAUGAACCCACACUCAAUAAAAAUGUGACAGGAGUAAAUAAUAAUCAGAAAUUGCUUGGGGGACGAAGGGUUAAGGAGAAAAAGAGCAUGUUCUAAAGGUUUCCAUGGGGCCAGAGUUUAUUUUGUAUGGCAUAAUUCAUUUUAAAAUCCUGAAUAAGGUGUAGAAUCUUGACUUGGAAUAUUGGAAAUAAUUGCUAGAAAUGUAAUUACAAGAAUCUAAAGUCCAAGGAGGACAAAUAUACAGACUAUCUGAAGCUGUUUGGACUUAAUAAAAAAAAUGUACCUAAAAGUUUCUGACUAAAAUGACCAUACAUGCGUAUUUAUGGUUCACAGGGUUCCCACUCUUUCCCUGAAAUUAUUUUCCAGGACUUUUCCAGGACAUUUCCAGCCGCUACAGACACGUUGUCACGUCAUACACUAAUACAUUCCCUUCCCCCUCAUUCUUUGGAAGUGUUCUUUACUACAGUUGUACCGUGCAUUUACCCAGAUUGUUUCUAUAUUUAUUACUCAGACAUUUGAUGUGCAAUCUAUGGCUAUAAUUUAUCUAUGAAAAAUAAUUCUGACAAAUGUAUCAUAGAAUAAUGCAAAUAGAUUACACCGUAGCACUUCACUAGCAUGACAAACUGGAGUUACAGUGUUCAACUGGGUAAUUUCCAACUCAGCUUUCUCUGGUGCAAUUCAUUUAAAAACAUUUGUAUAUUUUCAAUAAAUGACUGAAAAAUUA